GACGAACGCUGGCGGCGUGCUUAACACAUGCAAGUCGAGCGGAAAGGCUCCUUCGGGGGUACUCGAGCGGCGAACGGGUGAGUAACACGUGAGUAAUCUGCCCUUGGCUUCGGGAUAGCCACCGGAAACGGUGAUUAAUACCGGAUAUGACAACUUCUCGCAUGGGAUGGUUGUGGAAAGUUUUUCGGCCAGGGAUGUGCUCGCGGCCUAUCAGCUUGAUGGUGAGGUAAUGGCUCACCAUGGCUUCGACGGGUAGCCGGCCUGAGAGGGUGACCGGUCACACUGGGACUGAGACACGGCCCAGACUCCUACGGGAGGCAGCAGUGGGGAAUAUUGGACAAUGGGCGGAAGCCUGAUCCAGCAACGCCGCGUGAGGGAUGACGGCCUUCGGGUUGUAAACCUCUUUCGGUAGGGACGAAGCGCAAGUGACGGUACCUACUAAAGAAGCACCGGCCAACUACGUGCCAGCCGCCGCUGUAACAC
rnacentral:rRNA from 1 species